rnacentral:lncRNA from 1 species
ACCCCCGCUUUGAUGCAGAUCUCGUCCGGUUGGUAAAAAUAGCUUUUAUCAGUCAAGUUUGAUCGAUAAACUAGGCUAGAGAUAAAAUGACAAACAAAAAUCAAUUAUGAGAGUUGGAUCCGUGCAAUGCUGCUUGGAAUAGAAGGCAUCGGGAAACGCAUCAAACGUAGGUCGUUUCCUCCCUGAAGCCUCCAUGACGUUCAAAGUCAAAACGAGUUGAGUAUGUUGUCCGGGUGUACCAUGCAUGGUCUGGCAAAUGACACAGAGCUAUACAUGCUUUUUAGCGCUUCGAUCGUACACAAAUUUGUACCACUGUUUUACUGCCUUGGCGACAGGAGUUCACAUGUUAGUUGGCCACCAUGGCUGCUUUCCAAGACACCCGCCAUGUUCGCGCAUUGCCCAGAUGCAUGGGAUCCGUGGGUCUUACCAUGUGGGAGGAACCUUGCUAAUCAACCUAGCUAGUUAACUCUUCGCGUGCAGUGUCCACUUGCGAUCCUGCAGUGUUACCUUGGUAAAUUUGUGUCAAGAUAAUUUAGCGAGAUUUCGCUGAAAUUUAGUGAGAUUCAUCGGUUUAUCUUCGAUCUCCCUUAGUUUUAGCGAGCGGGGUAUAAGUUCAGCUAUAUAUGCAGGACAAAACACAAAGCUAAGUGACCACCUAUCCACCCAUCUGUAGGAGUAGUUUGCCAUGAGUAAAGCAAGAAAUUAACCUGUGGUGGUGAUUCAUCCGAUGCAUUAGGGAAUAAUCAUCUAUUCUUGUUUUCUUCUCCCUACAAUAAUGCCACAUCAUAAAGUCAUGCAUGGAGUUAUAUAUUACUUUUUUCAUUAUCUUUUCAUGCAAAACAUACCACCUCAUGUAUUAUUUUUUUCCAAGAAAUUAAGUCAUGUAAGAAAGUU